GGAGCGGCACAUCCGGGCCCCGGGCUCGGGGAGGACAACAUGGCGGAGGCUUCUGUCGGUAGGCAGAACCCACGUGUGGUGCUGUAUCGAACGCAGAAUUUAUGUUCCUUAGAAAACGGGCUUCAGUCUGAAGGAGGAUGGUGAAAAUCGGCGUGGAUUACAAGGAAGAAAGUGACCGAAGGUUUCAAGAAUGGCGGAACGUGAUAGGAAAUUAAUUGCUAACGUCAAAGAAAAGCAAAGCCAAAAAAACUUGAUUGAAUCAUACUACACAGGCCCUGAGGGGGAAGGUUCAAGGAACAAUGGUCCAAAUGAUUGGGAAACCUUUCAAGCUACUUCACGAAUGAGAAAUACCUCCGCCAAGUCUUGCCAGUCUGAUUCAGCCAUUCAACUCAUCUUCACCUAACUCUGCCGCAACCGUACCCUAACCAUGGAGGUCAUGUUGAGACCAGGUUGUUCUCACAGUGGAAGGAGGACCCUCCACCUGUCACUGUGCCCUCCACACAGCCAUAGCUGGGACAUACCCUACUAACUGGAAGGUCUGUACCAACAGAUCAGGAAACGCAUCGACCGAGCAGUUAACCGUCAUUGACAUUCCCAAGACUAACCCAGAGCCUUUUGAGGGAUGCCAUUGACAGUGUCGUGAAAGUGUGCGGGAACUCCCAGGUGUAUAUUGACGUAGUUACAUUGCAGUGAGGAUAGGGAGAGUUAGCAGAGUAAGGUUGACAAACCGCUCACCCACCAUCCUUCCCUCCUGUGUGUUGUUAAUCAGAAGCUGGUCAAGUCUACCCAAAGCCGCCUCACACUGCUCCAACGUGGCCUAUUGAUGAUCUUAGGUCUUUCCCGCAGGUCGUUCAGUAAACCUCCCAUAAGUCGUAUCAUCGGGAUCAGAUAUUUAAUAUGACUCGUGCAAUGCCUGAGUUAUGUCAAACUUGCAUAGACUAUAAACUCUUGAAUGGGACGUGAACAGACAGUUGUACGACUUGGGCGGUCAUACGAUUUAUACAGAUCAGACUUAUGCGAGUUUUACUGUAUGUUGUGCGUAGGACAAAGUGGCAAUGAACUGUCCUUCGACCAUGCUUAACAGGAAUGUGCACGCAUAACAAGAUUAUUCCAUUCACUUCAAUGUAUUAUUGCGGCAGAUAUUGAUACAGGUCAGACCGAGCUUACGUUGCUAGGGCACUGCGGACGUUGCCAGAGCAAACGUGUAACGAUAAACACCUGAUAACUUGUCAACCCUGGCAUAACUGCUCACGACCGCUUGAGUAAUUACGCUGUCAAUAUCCCAUUUAUUUAUGCAUUAAUACAUACGCCUAACUCGACACUCCCAUCUAACUCAUCACUGAGCCCUUUCUGUUUGGAGUGACAAGUUAUCAGGAGU